AGCCCCGGUGGCCGAAUGGGUAAUGCGGCCACCAGGUAGCGCCUUGGCGUGGGGACCCAGGGUGUGUGGGUUCGAAACCCACAGGGGACAACAUUACAUCCAGAGCCAACUUCUCAGCUUCUAAAAUAAUGGGAUGUGAACUUGCCAAGUAGGUACCUUUGAGUGGAUCUACUACCUGAUUUAGCUUAUUGUUUCUGGGCUGGAAACCUGUAUUGCAUGUACCAAUCCUGUCUUUCAUUAAUUUUCCUAUGUUCUUGUUAUUCUUGGCGCUGUUCAACACUAAGCAUUCCUCCGGUAUAACCAACUCUUGCCUGUAUUUAACAUCACACAAGGACUCGUUAUAAGCGCUGCUUGCAUACGAGUAUAACGGAAGAAUAAUAAUAAUAAUAAUAAUAAGGUUUCAAAUUCUGUGAGCUAUGAUAGGCCA
rnacentral:sRNA from 1 species